UUUGCCUACGGGACGCAGCAGUAGGGAAUCUUCCACAAUGGGCGAAAGCCUGAUGGAGCAACGCCGCGUGGGUGAAGAAGGUCUUCGGAUCGUAAAACCCUGUUGUUAGAGAAGAAAGUGCGUGAGAGUAACUGUUCACGUUUCGACGGUAUCUAACCAGAAAGCCACGGCUAACUACGUGCCAGCAGCCGCGGUAAUACGUAGGUGGCAAGCGUUGUCCGGAUUUACUGGGUGUAAAGGGCGUGCAGCCGGGAAGACAAGUCAGAUGUGAAAUCCCGCGGCUCAACCGCGGAACUGCAUUUGAA
rnacentral:rRNA from 1 species